rnacentral:rRNA from 1 species
AUGGCUCAGAUUGAACGCUGGCGGAAUGCUUUACACAUGCAAGUCGAACGGCAGCACGGACUUCGGUCUGGUGGCGAGUGGCGAACGGGUGAGUAACAUAUCGGAACGUAUCCAAUAAUGGGGGAUAACUAAUCGAAAGGUUGGCUAAUACCGCAUACGCCCUGAGGGGGAAAGCUAGGGAUCUUCGGACCUGGCGUUAAUGGAGCGGCCGAUAUCUGAUUAGCUAGUUGGUGAGGUAAAGGCUCACCAAGGCGACGAUCAGUAGCUGGUCUGAGAGGACGACCAGCCACACUGGAACUGAGACACGGUCCAGACUCCUACGGGAGGCAGCAGUGGGGAAUUUUGGACAAUGGGCGCAAGCCUGAUCCAGCCAUUCCGCGUGAGUGAAGAAGGCCUUCGGGUUGUAAAGCUCUUUCGCAAGGGAAGAAAACUUAUCCUCUAACAUAGGAUGAGGUUGACGGUACCUUGAUAAGAAGCACCGGCUAACUACGUGCCAGCAGCCGCGGUAAUACGUAGGGUGCGAGCGUUAAUCGGAAUUACUGGGCGU